GUGUGCCAUAUAUAUAUAUAUAUAUAUAUAUAUAUAUAUAUAUAUAUAUAUAUAUAUAUAUAUGCAUGCAACGCAC